AAAGGACAAUGGGCACAAAUAUAUGGAACCUGGUAUACCCCACCAAUAGGAAUGUCAUAUAUACCAUUGGAUAGGUCUUUUUAUGUAGAACAAUAUUUACUAUGACAGCUUUGCUGAAAUGUUUGUCCGUUCUGAGAUAUAGAUCAAAAACUGUGCAAAAGUUAGAACUAAGUAAUCUAUUGAUAACUCAAGUUUUUAAAGGAAAAUCUAAGUACUACCAAGUGUAAGUCUUGUAAGUGCUACCUGCUGUGCCCGUUAGGGUCCAUAAUUGUUACUAUUAUGUAGCAUUUCAACCUUUUAUUGUAUCAACUGGAUUUUGGGCGUAGUGAAAAACCGCACCAAUAGCAAAGUCAUAGAUAUCGUUAGAUAGGUCUUUUUAACUGGAACAACAUUUACUAUGACAGCUUUGUUCUAUUGUUUGUCCGUUCUGAGAUAUAGAUCAAAACUAAUCUUAAAACUAAUGCUGAUCAAUACUGUAAUCUGAUUUUCUUUGAAAAAAUAAUACCAUUGUCGUUUUUAUUUUUAUUUUCUUAUAACUAAUCAUUUUAAGUCGUGGUGUCCUUGUAGUCUUAGUAUGUCUUGGACACUAAUGACUGUAUUUCGGAGGGCACGUUAAUCUAUAGGUCCUGGCUGUCAUUGAACAUCAUUGGCAGUCGUUACGUGUAGUCAAAAGCCAGUGAGACUGACACCAGUCUUACCAAAAGGUAUUGGGUUGUUGGGUUGAUUACAGUAUUGAUCAGCAUUAGUUUU
rnacentral:lncRNA from 1 species